rnacentral:lncRNA from 1 species
GAAUAGAAAAAAAGCUCAAGAGUUUAAAAGAAAAAAUAAAGACUGGUCUUUGAAUUGGAAAAAAGUUAGUUUUAUUCUAAAAAAUAUAGAGUGUUAAGGCUGGAAUUCUUACUCUUGGAGAUUCAGUUAGUUAUUGAGUGUUAAGGCUGGUUCUUUAAAACUUAGAAGGUCAGUUUACUUCUAUAGAUUCUAAGCAAUAAAAUCAGUGUUCUGUGAGCUUUUCCUGGAAGUUCUUGGUUGAGUACUGUUGCAUUGAGUUCCUGGGUUUUCCCACUUGGUUUCAUCUUUCCUGCGAUUUCUGCUACUGUUCGCUACUGGUUUUACUGAUUGUUGUUGUGCUGCUGUGUUGCUGUGUUGCUACUGUUGUUCAUCCACUGAUCUUCCUCUUCUUCUUUUUGCCUUCCAAAUACCAGGUAUACAAAUAAUACACUUGUUCAAUGUAAGCUAAAAUUUGAAGCAUGAAUGAAUGAAGAGUUGAAGUUGUUUUGAAUUCUUUUUAGUUGUAUAUUGAACCUUAAGCUGCAUACAUAUAAUAGUUCAUGUCUUCUACUAGAAUCAUGUAGGUGUGAGCUACGUAUAACUAAACAAUAUUCUGUAGUAGUUUAGUUGUAAACUUCCUCCCUUGUAUGCUUAGUUAAAAUAGAUUGAUAUUGUAGAAACC